rnacentral:lncRNA from 1 species
AGAAGGUUCCGAGGGUCUUAGUGCUAGAGAUAGAAGAACAGUGAGGGAUGCCCUGGCCUUCCUUUGUGCUGCUGCAGCACGUGAGAACCUGGCGUUUAUACUCUCGCCCCUCCCUGACCUUCUUCUUGGUCUUCCCAACAGGGCGUGUCCCACUCUUUGGUUAAAGGACUAAGGGGGAGCCAGUCCCUGAUUGACAGUGCCAGUCCAGUCUGGGAGCCAGAGGGAAAGGGGGCGUGGCAAAGAGAAAAGCUCACAGCAUUGACUCCUCCCCUCCACUCCCUUCUCCUCCUUUCUUCCUUUCCCCUCCCCUCCUACUUCUGGCCUCUAUGACAUGAGCCCCUCCCACUCCUGAUGAGAUGAACUGAAACUCUGGAAACCCAGAAUAAACCUCUCUUAA